UAUCCGGAAGACUCUCGGCAACGGAUAUCUCGGCUCUUGCAUCGAUGAAGAACGUAGCGAAAUGCGAUACUUGGUGUGAAUUGCAGAAUCCCGUGAACCAUCGAGUCUUUGAACGCAAGUUGCGCCCGAAGCCAUUAGGCCGAGGGCACGCCUGCCUGGGUGUUGCA
rnacentral:rRNA from 1 species